GGGGCGUAAGGCUUCACGAGGGAGCGGCAGGAUUUAUAUUCCACUCAGCUCUCAGCCAUUUACUUUCAUUUCUAAAACGUUUAGGGCCCCAGCGAUGCCAGAUCAAGGUGGCAUUCUGCUGGAGAAUGGGACCCUAGCCAAUAAAAUAUAGAUCUAACAUUCAAUAACCACCUAAGAUGUUGCCUUUUUCUGAUGCCAAGAAAUCCAUCCAAACUCUAAAAAGAAGAAACAGCAUUGAGAGAAAAAUCAACCUACAGCAGCAUGUCCUGUCAAGUCUGACGGAGACUUCAAGCCAGUUGAAUAGUGAUGUAACAUCAACACUGUUUCAGAAGACACCAAACUCCAACAUGGACUGUCUGGAAAAGGCAACCUGUGGUAUACUGAUGGAGAACAAGGGUCCCAUUACAAUAUCAUCAAAUUAGUUUCUUUUAUUUCUUAUACAACUGGAUAAAGAAGAACUGAUCGUAAUUUUGAAAUCAGAUCACUUUUCUUAAGGUGAUUUAAGAAUGGCAAGAAUGCCAAGAACCCUAAGAAGUUGUUUUUAUGAUGAGAAGGUCAAGGGGUAGGGCCGUCUUAACAAAGCUGUGCACUGUGGCCCCUACCUACACAACCACUCAGCAAGUCACAACAUACAUAGAUUAGCAAGGGGCCCAUAUGCUCGUGGGGCUCCCGGGCAACUGCACAGAGUGCCCAUUCGUUAAGACGGCCCUGCUAAAGGGCCAUGUCAGCCCCUGCCUAAUGAGACAUUUCCUUUUAGUGGACGAUUAGUGCUGGUGGCUGGUAGUCCCAACUGUCAACGCUGACCUUAAUUACGAAUCCAUGGGCUUCUUUAUCCAGUUAUAAUACAUUUCUCUUAACAUGAACAUCUAAGUAAAUCAGGUUUUAAUGAAGCCAAAAAAAUAUAAAAAUAUAAACAAAACCCAAACUGUUAGGUUAAAGUUGCCAAAAAAAAAAUAAAAAAUAAAAUCCAAACCCAAACUGUUAGGUUAAGGUUGCCAAAAAAAUACAUAAAAAUAAAAAACACACAAAAAAAUAGAAAACUAGAAACAAAAUGCCAA